AUGAAUAAGUGGGCUGUUGGUGAAGCUUGGCCAGAGAUCCUAGAAGUGGCUGGAAACCAGAAAUCACUGCCUUUGAGAAACAAUGGCAGAAAAGCAGAAAAGGCUAAAGAAGAUAAACAUUUCAUUGACUGCUUCCCAAGACUCAUGAAACAAAAAAGUCUGAGCUGUGAUGUGACUGAAGAAUAGAAAUGCGAUUUCCAACAAAAAAGCCCCAGAUGAGAUUCUGUAGCAUGAAUUCUAAUUUGUCUUAAUAAUAAAAACCCAGACUCAGCUAUUAGGGAGCGAAUGCUGAAGGAACAGAGAAGUAGAUCAGUGAGCCACUAGAGUUCUUACCUCUGUCAAUGCUCAGACCAAAGGGGCAAUCCUGUCCUCAGACUGCAUCCUCAGACUGACUGCUCCUCAGACUUCUUCAAAGUGCUUCAGACUGACUGCUACUCAGAUUACUGCUGUGUCUACAAAUGCUCAUACUGCCUUAAGCUCCAACUUCUUCCUGCCUUAUUUUCCUCUUUCCACUUAGCCAUAUAACUCAUGUCUCUACCUCCUUAGUGCUAGGAUUAAAGGUAUGUGAUCCCAGGUCCUGGGAUCACCUUUGUGUGAACUCUGUUUCUCUUUUACAAAGAUUCAAUCUUGUGUAUCAAAGGGUGGAUUUGAUCUCACAGAGAGCUCUGUCUGCCUCUGUUUCCUGAGUGUUGGGAUUAAAGGUGUGUGCCGCCACUAUUUGGCCUCUAUAUUUAACUGGUUGCUUAUCUCUGCACUCUGAUUUUCAGGCAACCUUUAUUUAUUAUAGCAUACACAAAAUAUCACCACAUUUCCCUUUUGUCUAAAAUAAAAUAAUGAAGGUUAUAAUCAAUAUAAGAAAAAUGGUAUACAUUAAGUACAAUAACUGUAGGCGAUAUAUACAGGCAAAAAUAUAUCAACAAUGCCUAGUUCAUUAACAAUUGACAAAUUCAGAGAAAAUACACCAUGACUAUCCUAUCCUGAUGAGUCCAAAGGGUUGUACCUCAUUCACUUUCUAUUGUAACUUGCAUUACCAAAAUUAUCUUUUAAUGUCUCUCAACCAUACAUACUUUAUACCUCUUUAGUGAAUUUCAUUUAUGAAUCUGGUAACAAGGAAAACUAUAACUAUAAAGUAAUUCCAUCAGAAAUUCUAGAAGAAAUAAUAUAACCUGAAUAAACAGGAAUUGUAAGCCAGCAAGAUUUAAAUGUGAGAAUGACAGAAAUAGCUGGCUAUUUGGACAGUCACCCAAUUUUCCUCUGCAAUGUUUGGGCAUUCACUUUCACCCUAAAGGCUUAGAAUGUUCUACAGACUUUUCUAUGAAGCAGGAUUUUUGAAGGACUGUACUACCUUGUCUUGACAAGGUGUGGCAGUCAAUCCCUUUUGUGUCCUGUUUGUCCAAUUAAGUCAGCAUACUGUCAGCAUUCAAGGCAUGUGCACUUUCUUUACCAGUGGUUUAUUUUUGCCACACAGAAAGUAAACUCCAUGUGGAGUUUCUUUGAAGACCAUUAUCUUCUCCAUAGUAGAUUGUUGCUGCCAGUAGCAGACAUGUCUCAUUGUCAUAAAAAAUAUAUAACCUAUGUUUAAAACAUCUUAAAUGACAUAUUCUGUAAAUAUCUGAAGUGUUUGAACAUGACCUGUCUCUCUAAAGUAUAUCUCUGUUUGACCUUGAAGACAUACCUAGUAUGACUAAAUGUUCGCCUGUAAUAGGUGACUAAUUAGUAACCUACAUUUCUUUAUUAUCCUACAUACUUGGUAAUUCAAGUACUUGAAAUUUGCAUUACAUAGUCAAAUGAGCUGUAUAGGUACAAUACCUUGAACAAGAGUAGAAAUGUAUGUGCAGUAUGUUCUAACAAAUUAAUCUCAAAUUUGUAUCAAUAUGCAAAAUUUGCAUACAAUAUACAAAAGUCCAUCCAAUGUAAAAUAUUAAAAUCUACUUUUUAAAAUUAGAUUAAAAAAUCUAUCUUGGUAUCUUAUCCUCACAUUUUUCUUUUCAUAGUAGAUUCAAUAAUCUAUCCUUUAUCUUCAAAUCUGUAUCCUCCAUUUUUCUGUUCAAAACAAGAACCUUGAAUAUAAUCUACCUUGUUUAGCUUUCUACCUGACCUAUACCAAUAACAGCUUGUAACCAAUUCCCCCUAGAUAAUGACAAAUAUCUAUAACCCAAGGAAUAACCAAACCACUAAGUACACCUGUUGAGAAAGUGGACAUCCUAUUCUUAAAUUAACUUCGUGCUGUCUGGGAGUGAUAGCAUCUUUAGGAGAUCCUAAUGAAAAAGAUUGGGUUAAUUUUCAAGUCCUGGGAUCAGUAGCUGUAUCAUCUGUUGUUCAGUCUCUGCAUAAUGGGAAAGUGUAGGGCUUGUCUCAUGUCUUAGCUAGAGUAGUCUGUGAGGCUGAAUUAUCUCCACUAGCCACCUCCAAAUUGUCCUGAGCAGUUUGUAGUCCAAAGCUGAUCUUUGGUUGAUAUUCUUCAGUUUAGAGGUGUUUUUAUAGUCCUGAUGGAAUUGUCAUUGUGAGACUCCAUUAUGAGUUUGUAGACUUUAAAGUUCAUUCAUAGCCAUGGUCAUGGUGAACUGAAGAAAAAUGAUAGAGACUCAAACCCCAAAUCGUGUACAGGAAGCUAAAUGUACCCUUUUUUUCUAGAAUUACCUAGUACUCUAUAUGACCACUAAUAUGACAAAAUUUAUUUAUAUACAUAUAUACAUAUAUAUUACAUUUAUAUACAUAUAUACAUAUAUUAAUCUUAUAAGUUUUGAGAUAAUAUUUAUACCUUAAGAACACUUUAAAGAGUCAUAAAAAACAAAUUAUUGAGAUUUGUGACAAUAAAUAGUCCCAAUUUUUUUUUUGUUUUUCUUAUGUUCCAUACCGGUGGCUUUUCUGACAUGAGACAGAGAUUUUGGAUUUUUCUUUAACAAGAAUUAUGGUGUUGAAAGGAGAGAGUCACACUCCAACUGCCUGGCCAGACAUAAUUUCCAAUUAUAUUGGGACUACAAACAAUUGUAUGAAAUAUCUGUAGAAAAAAAAAACAAACAUUUGGGAAAAUUUAUGAAUUUUUUUUCCAUUCAUUUAUUUAGCUCAUAAAUAAAGUCAUGCACAAUUAUGAUACAGAAUAUAGUAUGUUCACAAUGGCAUGGCUAAAUUAAACCAAUUAACAUGUUAUAUCACACAUAUUCAUCAUUUUUGUUUUGAGAACACUUAGUAUACUAUCUCACAACUUUUAAAAUAUAACAUAUUGUUAUCAACCAUAUUUAUCAUGCUCUCAGUAGACCUCAAGACUUCACAGAGCCCAUGCCUCUUGUCCAACUGCAAUU
rnacentral:lncRNA from 1 species